AGAGUUUGAUCAUGGCUCAGGAUGAACGCUAGCUACAGGCUUAACACAUGCAAGUCGGGGGGAAACGACAUCGAAAGCUUGCUUUUGAUGGGCGUCGACCGGCGCACGGGUGAGUAACGCGUAUCCAACCUGCCCACCACUUGGGGAUAACCUUGCGAAAGUAAGACUAAUACCCAAUGACGUCCCUAGAAGACAUCUGAAAGAGAUUAAAGAUUUAUCGGUGAUGGAUGGGGAUGCGUCUGAUUAGCUUGUUGGCGGGGUAACGGCCACCAAGGCGACGAUCAGUAGGGGUUCUGAGAGGAAGGUCCCCACGAUUGGAACUGAGACACGGUCCAAACUCCUACGGGAGGCA
rnacentral:rRNA from 1 species